rnacentral:lncRNA from 1 species
GGCAAAUGGUGGGAGAAGAGGCAGGAAUGCAGGCAGGACCUGGUAAACCACGUUAAUGACACUUGGACUUGACCAUCAAGUUGAUGGGGAGUCACUGAAAACUUUCCCAAGGAGAUCAUGGAAUCAUUGCAGGUCUGCAUUUUGAAAAAUCUUUUUUGCAGUUUGAAGAGAAUCUGAGGGGAGGUGGUGUGGGAACAGGAACACAAGGAUCUGAGGCAGAGAUCAGUUGGUGAGUUCACUGCAAUAGGGACAAGAGAGGAUAAUGGUGGUGGUGGUGGUGGUGGUGGGGUCAGCUGGUGGAGUAGCAGUAGAAAUGGAGAAGAGAGGAUGUGUUCAAGGCCUUUUCUGAGAUAAAGUCAACAGAUCUUAAUCAACUGGAGGUGAUCAGUGGUGGCAUUGACUUCAAGAUUGGGUCCAAGUGGAACUUUGAAACCAUUUUCCUUGAACUAGAAAGGGAAUUAGCUGAGGAGCCCGACCCAACAAAGGUUUGGGGGCGACUGGGCCCCAAGGGCCGAGAGACAGGGGUGAGUUCCGGCAGAGGCUUUAGACGGGAAAGCAGGAGGGCCAGAGGGCGGGAAAAUCACGGAGCAUGCGCACAGCACGGCUUAAGCCUGCACAGCCCUUCUCGGUGGGCGGAGUCUGUGGUAAGAUGGCUUGAAGGACUUCCUUGGUUGAGCUCCAGGGGUGAGUGGGCUUCUGGUGUCCUACGCCAGGCCCCCAGGCCUCCUGUGGCUCACCCCACGCCGAUUCCACCCGCCAGGGCCAGGGACACAUUCGCUGAGGCGCCUGCCCCGACCGCCACCAGGAGAGUGGAAGGCUGGGCCUGGUUUGACGCUUUCGCGCCCGACCUUGACCUAAGCCGAGCCUGGCGUGGCGCCCUCUUGCCCAGUGUGGGCAGAAAGGAGCGCUGGAAGUGCCUUCCUUGAGGGUCAGGUCGCGCUCUGAAGAGGUCGGCAGUGACCCAGGUCUGUGGGGCAGCGGGAGCCGACAUGAGGAGGUGCGGCGACCACCCCGGGAGGCCCCUUCCCCGCCCGCCGGUUCUGCCGAGGUUCUGCUUCCAGCUGCUCAGCUCGUGGAAAAGCAGAGGGAGGCAGGCCGGAGGCCGCUGUUCCACGCUCCAGACCAACGCCCUGGGCCCUGGAAAGAACUCAGGCUGGGGCCGAGCUGUGGGCCCACCCCCUCUUGGAAGGAGAGAAGCCGGGAUGUGAGGGAUGAGGGGUUUCCUAGGGAUACCCAACAGUCAGUGCCUGGGGUUUGUUUUCCUUUCUUUUCUGCUCGUUAGAUAAGACUGCCGUCCCUUAGAUAAAUGGUCAAUAAUUGAGUUCAUCCAGCCGUUUUUACUGAGGGUCAGACUUAGUCCAUUCCAGCGAAGAGCUAAAUGCACAUUUAAUUUUCUGUCGCGGAUGUCAGCUGAUGCUAUGGAGAGCGAGCACCGAGGAGUGAGAGGACGUAAUUGGCUGAGAGGAGCAGAGAACCUGUGGGGAAGGACUGUAGGAGUCUGAGGUUUGCCCUCCAAUCAGUGGUCUGCCUUCAUUUUCCAGAUUGAUGAAGUCUGCCUCAGAGAAGGGAGCAGUUUAUUUAAUUUCAGGAGGACCUGGGGACCUCCUGUUCUGCCAUCUUGCUUCAUCACCAACACCCUUUUUCGAUCAACAUUUUGAGUAUGCUUUCCAGCUAUGUUUGGCCUCCAUGGUUUACGCCUCCUGGUACAUAGUUGUAUAUUUCAGUUGUGGGUCCUUCUAGUUGUCGCAUGUGGGACGCUGCCUCAACUUGGCCUGACGAGUGGUGCCAUGUCUGCGCCCAGGAUCUGAAUCGGCGAAACCCUGGACUGCUGCAGAGGAGUGCACGAACUUAAUUCUUCUGCCACAGGGCUGGGCCCUGAGUUAAUUUGUAUAUAGUGUAAGUACACAGUUGUACAUUCUUCGCUGUGGGUCCCUCCAGCCGUGGCAUGUGGGACGCCGCCUCAGCAUGGUCCGAUGAGCAGUGCCAUGCCCGUGCCCAGGACCUGAACCAACGAAACACUAGGCCGCCUGCAGCGGAGCGUGCAAACUCAACCACUUGGCCACGGGGCCAGCCCCAGGAUACAGAAUUCUUGGUUGACAGUUUUUUACUUUCAGGACUUUAAAUAUGCCAGCCCACUGACUCAAGGUUUCCAUGGUUUCUGAUGAGAAAUCUGCUGUUAACCUUAUUAAUGAUCCUUGUGUGGAAUGAAUCAGUGAACUUGAAUCUGUAAAUUCAUCUUUCAUCAAAUUUGGGAUCUUUUUAGCCAUUAUUUUGUCAGUUAAAAAUUUUUUAAAAAAUAUACCAUUCUUUCAUCUCCUUGUGGGCCAUCCAUUUUAUGUUUGUUAAACUGACUGGUAUUGUGUUUCAGGGCUGUGAUGUUUAUUUUUCAAAAAAUCUUUUUUUCCUCUGUAUAUUUCAUUUUGGGUGACUUCUGUUGCUGUGUUUCAAGAUCAUUGAUCUUUUCUUCUGCAUUGUCUAGUUUGCAGUAAAUCCUAUCUGGUGUUUAUGGAUUUGAUAUUUUUUGUAGUUCCAUUGGAGUGCUUUUUUAUAACUCCUGUUUCUCUCCUCAUCUUGUUCAUGUUUCCCUUUAUAUCUUUGAUUAUAUUUAUAAGACUUUUUAUAUUCCUUAUAAGGUCCUUGUCUGCUAAUUUCAUC